GCCUGCCUGCUUCCCAGCGUGUGUAAGACCUCACACAACAACAACACCUCCUGGAUCAUCAUCUGGUGUGCACUUGUUGUUGCUACAGAUCAUAGCAAAACAUAAAAACACGUUCGCUAUGUGACGAACCUUCUGGAGGAGGCGAAGGAGAAGUGCGCAGGGGUGCUUGGAGAGAAGUUUCGCGGGCUGUCCAGUGGACUGCUUCCUGAAAUACAAGACACAAAAUGAGCUACAAUCAAGCUCCAUUUCCUGUUUGGACUUCAGAUUCCUUCCGAGCUGCACCGCAACAGAGUCCUGAGCUGAGGAGUCCGGUGUCACGUCGAGGAGGAGCACGUAAUGACACAAAUGUCAAGCGGCCCCAUUGUGUCUGCUCGGAAUCGACGUCACUAAAAGAAAAAGCAGAACCUCACUGUUGACAGCCGAGCAUCCUUGACACCACGCCAGAGGUUUGUUGCGUUUCUUAAGGGAGUUGGGACUCCAAUUUAGGAGCACGAACCUGGUCCUGUCUAGUCUUGCUGUGUCACAACAGUACCAAGAGGAAACGCGAGCUUCUUUCCACGCGAGAACUGCGACUUCGAAAGCCCAGCUGGGCCAAAUGUCUAUUUGACGUCUUGCAGAAGAGCAGCCGAGAGUCGCCUACCAGAGCGACCUGAAUCAGCCUCUCUCGCUGACAGCCUGCAGGCUUCCUCCUUAAAUCCUCUUCAGUGCUGGAUGACAUCCUGCUUGCCUGCCUCCAUAGAGAAGGGACACCCUAAGAGGAUUGUUAUCCACUCCGACCAAUGCACCAAAAGAUAAAUGCAAACAAAUGGUGGAAAAACCCUGGACAUCUGAGGUCAAAGGUCACAUUAGAACGCUGUAUCUUUUAACUACAUUUUAAAAACACCUAUUGUGUACAAUAAAAGUGUUUCAAAGCAGGCCAUUUCAUGCAUGAAGGUAUUUUGUUGCCGCCGAUGAAUGGGAUCCGUCGAUUUGUGAAGGAACAGAUUGAUACACAAGUGAGAGGAGACAAAAAGCUUUUGUUGUAUUAUUCAUUUUUCCCCCUCUAUGCUAAAGCUGCAGGGGGAGAAAAUAGUCAAUAAAAGAGACACAGAGAACAAAGGCCAAAAAAAUGUUCUGAGCGAAGAAGAGCUUGGGAGCCUGGGGCUUUUGUGUGUAUGUGUGUGUACUAGUGUUUUAGUCUUUCGUAUGAAUGGUAAUUGGAUGCAGCUCAAAGCAGACUUGGCAAGAACCAACCAGUAGAUGAAAAGACCUUGCUACACACAAGUAAGCCUAUUACAAUGAACGAGAAGAGUACACAACAACAUCACUAAAAUGGCUAACGGCUGUGGCUUUGUGUUGUGAGCAUAUUACCUGCACUGACCUCUUCUAAAAUGUCAUUUCAGAAGCCGAGGGAUGGGAUCAAUGCAUCUUGACUUCAAUCAAAAUGUCCUUUCGAUUUCCAUCUUCCAUCAAAACAAUGAUAUGAAUCUGUCUGGGUGCUUGUCAAGUGAUAUAUUUUUCCAAUAGAGCUUGAAAUAAGUCUUGGAAUUUUAUUGACUUUCUAUUGGAGGACAGGAUACUAAAUACAUGCAUAAUUGCAAUUUAAUGCAAAUGAUAAAAAAAUCAUCAUUACCAAAUACAGAAAUAUAUUAUGCUUAUUUAGGAAUUGUACCCAGUCACCUGUCAUUGUGAGGUUACUUAUCAAAGGAAAAAUGACAGUUGUUUGUUUACAUUCCAAUUUCAGCAUCCCAGGACUUCGUCCAAGUUCCUCUUGCUCAUCAACAUGAGGGAAUUAAACUCUGGACCUCCUAUGGCAAUGUGAAGGUGGCUAUGCUCUGUCCUCUGAGGACGCUUUCCUGCACCUUGACACCACCAACAGGCCAAUUGUGGAACAGCAGUUAGUUUUUAAAAAAAAUAUUAUUAUUAUUAUAAUUAUUAUUAUCAUUAUUAUUAUUAUUAUUAUCGUUAUUAUUAUUAUUAUUUAUGUAAUGGCACAGAUUAACCAC